CAAAUUUUGUUAAAAAAAAUUAUAUUGCAAAUUUCCAUUCCAUUCAAUGAUUAAGGGGUGAAAAAUUAACAAAACAGAAGGAAACUUUGUUUAGGAUUGGUCCAUUCCAUUCCAACACGAAACAAACAUUCCAUUCCAUUCCUUCUCAAUUUCAUCAUUAAAAAUAAUAAAAAAAAAAAAAAAAAAAAAAAAAAAAAAAAAAAAAAACCUACCGAAACUAAGUUGGAAUCGGAUUACACCGAUAGUAAGUCGGGUCCCUCAUUGAUCCAUUGUUAUCGGUUAUGUCCAAUUUUCCUCUUAAACAACAUUCAACUCCCUUUUCCGUUCCAAGAACCAUCUCGUUCCAUAGCUUGAGGUUUUCAUCGACACUUUGAUUCUAUUUUCUUCUCUCGCUCGUAUCUCAUCUGUUCUUUUGGGGUGUCGUCGACGUAUGCUUUCCCUUCUUUAAUCAACUUCUCAGCCAUUUCCAUGAGAUUCGGAAAGUAAUCGGAAGAUUUGUGUCAUCAAACCUUAGGAUUACUUUCCCGUUGUAUUUCUGAGCAAAAUAUUGGUUCAAUAAAGCGGCUUUCGCAUGGCCUAUGUGGAGAUAGCCACUUGGUUCAGGUGCAAAUCUCAACAAAACUUUUCCCAUUUCAGCAUAUGGAAGAUCCACUUCAGGGCGAUUGGAAUUAACAAGCUCCAUCAUUACCUUGUUCACCGAGAUAAAAGAAAACAGAAGAACAGGAGUGUAGAAGAAGGGACGAACACAGGGGAAUAACAGAAAACAGAGGAGAGAAAAAAAAUUACUGCGAAAUCUUAUUAAAACUUGAUUCGAUCAAUGAAUUAAAAAGACAACGAUUACAUCU